GCUCUGGUGGUGGAAUUGGUAGACACGUACGCUUGAGGGGCGUAUGCUGAAAGGCGUGAGGGUUCGAGUCCCUCCCUGAGCACCA
rnacentral:tRNA from 1 species